rnacentral:rRNA from 1 species
GACGAACGCUGGCGGCGUGCCUAAUACAUGCAAGUCGAACGCACAGUUUAUACCGUAGCUUGCUACACCAUAGACUGUGAGUUGCGAACGGGUGAGUAACGCGUAGGUAACCUGCCUGGUAGCGGGGGAUAACUAUUGGAAACGAUAGCUAAUACCGCAUAAUAUUAAUUAUUGCAUGAUAAUUAAUUGAAAGGUGCAAUUGCACCACUACCAGAUGGACCUGCGUUGUAUUAGCUAGUAGGUGAGGUAACGGCUCACCUAGGCGACGAUACAUAGCCGACCUGAGAGGGUGAUCGGCCACACUGGGACUGAGACACGGCCCAGACUCCUACGGGAGGCAGCAGUAGGGAAUCUUCGGCAAUGGACGAAAGUCUGACCGAGCAACGCCGCGUGAGUGAAGAAGGUUUUCGGAUCGUAAAGCUCUGUUGUAAGAGAAGAACGGGUGUGAGAGUGGAAAGUUCACACUGUGACGGUAGCUUACCAGAAAGGGACGGCUAACUACGUG